CCUACGGGAGGCAGCAGUGGGGAAUAUUGGGCAAUGGGCGCAAGCCUGACCCAGCAACGCCGCGUGAAGGAAGAAGGCUUUCGGGUUGUAAACUUCUUUUCUCAGGGACGAAGCAAGUGACGGUACCUGAGGAAUAAGCCACGGCUAACUACGUGCCAGCAGCCGCGGUAAUCCGUAGGUGGCAAGAGUUCUGCGGAUUUACGGGGUGUAAAGGGCGUGUAGGCGGGACUGCAAGUCAGAUGGGAAAACCACGGGCUCAACCUGUGGCCUGCAGUUGAAACUGUAGUUCUUGAGUACUGGAGAGGUAUGCGGAAUUCGUAGUGUAGCGGUGAAAUGCUUAGAUAUUAGGAGGAACACCAGUGGCGAAGGCGGCCUGCUGGACAGCAACUGACGCUGAGGCGCGAAAGCGUGGGGAGCAAACAGGAUUAGAUACCCCGGUAGUC
rnacentral:rRNA from 1 species